rnacentral:rRNA from 1 species
ACGUAGGGGGCUAGCGUUGUCCGGAAUCAUUGGGCGUAAAGAGCGUGUAGGCGGCUCGGUAAGUCCGCUGUGAAAGUCCAGGGCUCAACCCUGGAAUGCCGGUGGAAACUGUCGGGCUAGAGUCCGGAAGAGGCGAGUGGAAUUCCUGGUGUAGCGGUGAAAUGCGCAGAUAUCAGGAGGAACACCAAUGGCGAAGGCAGCUCGCUGGGACGGUACUGACGCUGAGACGCGAAAGCGUGGGGAGCAAACAGGAUUAGAUACCCUGGUAGUCCACGCCGUAAACGAUGGGCACUAGGUGUGGGGGGUGUCGACUCCCUCCGUGCCGACGCUAACGCAUUAAGUGCCCCGCCUGGGGAGUACGGCCGCAAGGCUA